rnacentral:rRNA from 1 species
GAUGAACGCUGGCGGCGUGCCUAAUACAUGCGAGUCGAGCGAACGGACGAGAAGCUUGCUUCUCUGAUGUUAGCGGCGGACGGGUGAGUAACACGUGGAUAACCUACCUAUAAGACUGGGAUAACUUCGGGAAACCGGAGCUAAUACCGGAUAAUAUUUUGAACCGCAUGGUUCAAAAGUAAAAGACGGUCUUGCUGUCACUUAUAGAUGGAUCCGCGCUGCAUUAGCUAGUUGGUAAGGUAACGGCUUACCAAGGCAACGAUGCAUAGCCGACCUGAGAGGGUGAUCGGCCACACUGGAACUGAGACACGGUCCAGACUCCUACGGGAGGCAGCAGUAGGGAAUCUUCCGCAAUGGGCGAAAGCCUGACGGAGCAACGCCGCGUGAGUGAUGAAGGUCUUCGGAUCGUAAAACUCUGUUAUUAGGGAAGAACAUAUGUGUAAGUAACUGUGCACAUCUUGACGGUACCUAAUCAGAAAGCCACGGCUAACUACGUG